rnacentral:lncRNA from 1 species
UAGGAGCUAAAAUGUAUAAGCUGUAGAAUAAUUUCCAUUGCUUGGUUAAGUCUAGUUGGAUUAAUAUGUAAAAGUGUCUUCAUGUACCAUUUGCACUGUACACACUAUGAAUUUGUUAGUGGGACGCUACCGUGUGUGUGAGAUUUGGAAUGGUUGUCAUAUAUUGAUGGGGUGACUUUGGACAUAAAUUGACCAAUUUUUGUAGACCUUAACCCCAAAAUUUUCC